CCUACGGGAGGCAGCAGUGGGGAAUAUUGCGCAAUGGGCGAAAGCCUGACGCAGCGACGCCGCGUGAGGGAUGAAGGUCUUCGGAUCGUAAACCUCUGUCAGCAGGGAAGAACGGUCACGGUGCUAAGCAGCAGUGAAUUGACGGUACCUGCAAAGGAAGCACCGGCGAACUCCGUGCCAGCAGCCGCGGUAAUACGGAGGGUGCGAGCGUUAAUCGGAUUUACUGGGCGGAAAGCGCUCGUAGGCUGUAUGGCAAGUCAAGGGUGAAAUCCCCGCGCUCAACGUGGGCACUGCCUUUGAAACUGGCAAACUGGAUUGUGUGAGAGGCUAGUGGCAUUC
rnacentral:rRNA from 1 species